rnacentral:rRNA from 1 species
UACAGAGGUCCCAAGCGUUGUUCGGAUUCACUGGGCGUAAAGGGUGCGUAGGCGGCGCAGAAAGUUGGGUGUGAAAUCCCUCGGCUCAACCGAGGAACUGCGCCCAAAACUACUGUGCUUGAGGAAGAUAGAGGUAAGCGGAACUUACGGUGGAGCGGUGAAAUGCGUUGAUAUCGUAAGGAACACCUGUGGCGAAAGCGGCUUACUGGGUCUUUUCUGACGCUGAUGCACGAAAGCCAGGGGAGCAAACGGG